CAGAAAAUAGUUUAUAUAAAAUAUUAAUUUUGGAGAUUAAUGAAAAAUGUUUAUUUUUUUCUGA
rnacentral:tRNA from 1 species